rnacentral:sRNA from 1 species
CUAAUGCUAAAUAUUGCAGUUUUUGUA